rnacentral:rRNA from 1 species
UACGUAGGGUGCAAGCGUUAAUCGGAAUUACUGGGCGUAAAGCGUGCGCAGGCGGCUUUGCAAGACAGAUGUGAAAGCCCCGGGCUUAACCUGGGAAUGGCCGUUGAAACUGGCGAACUGGGAGUGUGGCAGAGGGGGGUGGAAUUCCGCGUGUAGCAGUGAAAUGCGUAGAGAUGCGGAGGAACACCGAUGGCGAAGGCAGCCCCCUGGGCUAACACUGACGCUCAGGCACGAAAGCGUGGGGAGCAAACAGG